AUGCGGAACUUGCGGCAGCGGACCCAGGAGGAGUUGUCGGUGAACUGGAGGUCGCUGACGACGGCGCGCCCGUCGCGCAUGGUGAGGCCGACGUCGCCGGUAAGGAGCGGGCGCUUCCCCGAGCGCUCCUUGACGACGCCCCGGGCGAACUCGCCGGUCGUCCAGUCCUCGCGGCCGUCCGGAGGGAAGUCCCCGAAGAGCGGCACCAGCUCGACGCGCAUGAACUGCGGGAGAGCGCCGCAGACCGACCCGGUGACCGCGGCGACGAGGACGACCUGGAGUGGCUCGCCGUUUGCGUCCUCGAUCUUGCUGCCGGUGAAGAUCGGUAGCAUCGGCGGGCGCAGGAACGCCAGCCUCCACGCGGGCCGCUCCGCCGCCGGCGGCGUCUCCGGCGAGGACCUCUCGAUGUACCGCGGGCUGCGCACCAGCCCCGCCUGGAUCUCCUCCUGCACCUGCGCGCGCGCCAUCAAGAAACAGAGCAACCGAUCAGAACACUCGAUUCUUCCAAGAACAGAGCAAGCAUCGAGCGAGACAAGCAGCAAUCUGGUGGACGGCUCUGCUUACCACUCGGCGCAGGAGAGGCUCCAGCACCAGGAACACACUCUGCACCUGCUUCAUCACCAUGGCCUCCCGGAUCACCCUGGAACCCCAAACGCACGCACGCCAUGGAAUCAGCAAAGAGCUCCAUGGAUGAACAAGACACACGACGAACCAAGAGGCGGCGGGCUGGAAGGAAGCUCACGUGGAGAAGGAGACCGACCGCUCCAUCCGCUUCUUCUCGGGCUGGUCGGGGUCCUGCUCGAAGCCGUCGUGGAGCCGCUUGUGUGCCGCCAUGUCGAUCGCCGGCGCCGCUGCUCAAAUGCGAACAAACAAGUGUUUCUCUCGCUUUCUCCUCCUCCUCGGCGUAUCUAUUUUCUGGAGCUGGAAGAAGAAGGAGCAAGAGAGGGAGAGAGGGUGGAUGUGUGGGUGUGUUUUGCCUCGAGAGGACGAGGGGUCGGCCGGCUUAUAUAG
rnacentral:rRNA from 1 species